rnacentral:tRNA from 1 species
GGUUGUAUAGUUUAAUUAGAAUGAGGGUUUUGUAAGCCUUUGGUGUAUAAAUUACUAUAACCU